rnacentral:tRNA from 1 species
GGGGAUGUGGCUCAGUGACAGAGUGCUUGCCUGGAAAGCAUGCGGCCCUGGGUUCAAUCCCUGGCACCA